CACCACCCAGCCCUCAAAGUCAACCUCCCAGUAGCCGCGCGAGCCCAGGAGGCUCUCCUUGCACAGCACCUGAACGCCAGCAGCAGGUGGAGCGCCGGUCGGUGUAGUGACACUCUCCUGUGGGGGAGCCCUCUUAUUACCUACCAGAUGGUUGGGAUGGGAGGGGCCACACUCAACACAUGUUGGGGUGUCGGAUGAUGCCAUGCCGCUGUAUGGGUAGGCGGAGAUGACAUGUUGCAGUGUCCCCGUGCUUCCCGGUACAAACGCAUCCAUCAGCGGCCACGCUGAGAGGUCCUCCCAUGAUGCAACAGGCC